AACGAACGCUGGCGGCAGGCCUAACACAUGCAAGUCGAGCGAGAUCUUCGGGUCUAGCGGCGGACGGGUGAGUAACGCGUGGGAAUAUGCCUCUUGGUACGGAAUAGCCUCGGGAAACUGGGAGUAAUACCGUAUGUGCCCUUUGGGGGAAAGAUUUAUCGCCAAGCGAUUAGCCCGCGUUGGAUUAGGUAGUUGGUGGGGUAAUGGCCUACCAAGCCGACGAUCCAUAGCUGGUGUGAGAGGAUGAUCAGCCACACUGGGACUGAGACACGGCCCAGACUCCUACGGGAGGCAGCAGUGGGGAAUCUUAGACAAUGGGGGCAACCCUGAUCUAGCCAUGCCGCGUGAGUGAUGAAGGCCUUAGGGUUGUAAAGCUCUUUCAGCUGGGAAGAUAAUGACGGUACCAGCAGAAGAAGCCCCGGCUAACUCCGUG
rnacentral:rRNA from 1 species